CAUUGAAUCGCUUACUCACUUUCCACGGAUUCUAAUUGAGCACAGAAUUCGAUCGUAUUGCCUUAAAUCGCUUAAUGAGGUGAUAUCUAAGACAAGGUUUAGGCAGAUUUCACAUAAAUCGCUUGGGUUGUGAUCGAUUUAGGUAAAUCGCUUAGGUUAUGAAUGUUUGUAAAUCGCUCAAGGACUCGAUAGUUUUAGCCGGAUUCCUAAAUCGCUCACAGUGACCGGAUUUCGAUAAAAACCUAAAUUGCAGUUUUAUGUUCUUUGAAGAAUUCUUGCUAGCGAUAAUAAGGAGCUGAGUUCUUCAUCCUUAAAUGCAGUCGAUGUAAAUAUCUCUCUGGUUGACAAUCUUUUGGGUUGUUUACUUAGUUGUGAACCAGGUCUGUCGUGUAUUCAAAGCAAAGGAGGAAUCAAGGAAUCAAGAAAGUGAAGGAGAUGUUAAUCCAAUUUCAGUGGAGCAAUCUAUUAAACCUCCAAGUGCACGCUUAACAGAAGCUGAAGAUUUGGAGAACUAUAUUGCCAUUAAAGAAGAGCUAUAUAAGACAGCCAAAGAUUUUGAUGCUAAGAUCAUCGAUUUUGAAACAGCCAUCAGGAGGCCCUACUAUCAUUUUCGACCAUUUAAUGUUGCAGAGCUUGAAAACUGGCAUAACUACAUUGAUUUCAUUGAAUUUUGACUGUAUUACUGGCUACCUUGUUCGAUUCUCCUUUCACUAAGAUUAAAGGUGCUGGUAACAGAUGUUGUGGUAGGCUUAGUUGCCCAUUUUGCUGUGUGGAGGAUCUACAAUUGGCUUGUGUUUGAACUUCAUUAAAUCGCCUGGAAUUCGCUCAAGGCAGUCAACUUCAACGCUUGGCAUUUCUCACAGAAUUGGUACUGUCUGAUUAUUCAUAACUACUGGUGGGGAAGGUUCAACAGCUCAAGGAAGACUCCGUCAAGUGUGUGAUCAUGUUGUGCCACCUACUAUUCCUGACUAUGCUGGUGGUAUAUUCGUUGAAGGCUUUGUCUAUCAUCUUCAUUUUUGGAAACAUCUGUGAGCAGACUGUUGUAUAUCAGACUU